GUGAGGAAUAUUGGUCAAUGGGCGAGAGCCUGAACCAGCCAAGUCGCGUGAAGGAAGAAGGAUCUAUGGUUCGUAAACUUCUUUUGCAGGGGAAUAAAGUGCAGGACGUGUCCUGUUUUGUAUGUACCCUGAGAAUAAGGAUCGGCUAACUCCGUGCCAGCAGCCGCGGUAAUACGGAGGAUCCGAGCGUUAUCCGGAUUUAUUGGGUUUAAAGGGUGCGUAGGUGGUUUGAUAAGUCAGCGGUGAAAGUUUGCAGCUUAACUGUAAAAAUGCCGUUGAAACUGUCGGACUUGAGUGUAAAUGAGGUAGGCGGAAUGCGUGGUGUAGCGGUGAAAUGCAUAGAUAUCACGCAGAACUCCGAUUGCGAAGGCAGCUUACUAAGCUACAACUGACACUGAAGCACGAAAGCGUGGGGAUCAAACAGGAUUAGAUACCCCUGUAGUCC
rnacentral:rRNA from 1 species